rnacentral:rRNA from 1 species
GUAGGUGGCGAGCGUUGUCCGGAAUUAUUGGGCGUAAAGCGCGCGCAGGUGGUUCUUUAAGUCUGAUGUGAAAGCCCCCGGGCUCAACCGGGGAGGGUCAUUGGAAACUGGGGAACUUGAGUGCAGGAGAGGAAAGUGGAAUUCCACGUGUAGCGGUGAAAUGCGUAGAUAUGUGGAGGAACACCAGUGGCGAAGGCGACUUUCUGGCCUGUAACUGACACUGAGGCGCGAAAGCGUGGGGAGCAAACAGGAUUAGAUACCCUGGUAGUCCACGCCGUAAACGAUGAGUGCUAAGUGUUGGGGGGUUUCCGCCCCUCAGUGCUGCAGCUAACGCAUUAAGCACUCCGCCUGGGGAGUACGGUCGCAAAGACUG